AUUGAACGCUGGCGGCAGGCCUAACACAUGCAAGUCGAGCGAGUGGCGGACGGGUGAGUAAUGUAUGGGAAACUGCCUGAUGGAGGGGGAUAACUACUGGAAACGGUAGCUAAUACCGCAUACCAUCAGAUGAACCCAUAUGGGAUUAGCUAGUAGGUGGGGUAAAGGCUCACCUAGGCGACGAUCCCUAGCUGGUCUGAGAGGAUGACCAGCCACACUGGAACUGAGACACGGCCCAGACUCCUACGGGAGGCAGCAGUGGGGAAUAUUGCACAAUGGGCGCAAGCCUGAUGCAGCCAUGCCGCGUGUUUGAAGAAGGCCUUCGGGUUGUAAAGUACUUUCAGCGGGGAGGCGUUACUCGCAGAAGAAGCACCGGCUAACUCCGUGCCAGCAGCCGCGGUAAUAC
rnacentral:rRNA from 1 species